CCUCCUUAGAGUUUGAUCCUGGCUCAGGAUGAACGCUGGCGGCGUGCUUAACACAUGCAAGUCGAACGGUGAAGCCAAGCUUGCUUGGUGGAUCAGUGGCGAACGGGUGAGUAACACGUGAGCAACCUGCCCUGGACUCUGGGAUAAGCGCUGGAAACGGCGUCUAAUACUGGAUAUGAGACGUGAUCGCAUGGUCGUGUUUGGAAAGAUUUUUCGGUCUGGGAUGGGCUCGCGGCCUAUCAGCUUGUUGGUGAGGUAAUGGCUCACCAAGGCGUCGACGGGUAGCCGGCCUGAGAGGGUGACCGGCCACACUGGGACUGAGACACGGCCCAGACUCCUACGGGAGGCAGCAGUGGGGAAUAUUGCACAAUGGGCGAAAGCCUGAUGCAGCAACGCCGCGUGAGGGAUGACGGCCUUCGGGUUGU
rnacentral:rRNA from 1 species